UACGAAGGGGGCUAGCGUUGCUCGGAAUCACUGGGCGUAAAGCGCACGUAGGCGGCUUCUUAAGUCAGGGGUGAAAUCCUGGAGCUCAACUCCAGAACUGCCUUUGAUACUGACAGGUCUCGAGUCCGGGAGAGGUGAGUGGAACUGCGAGUGUAGAGGUGAAAUUCGUAGAUAUUCGCAAGAACACCAGUGGCGAAGGCGACUACCUGGCCGUGUUCUACGCUG
rnacentral:rRNA from 1 species